CACGUAGGGUGCAAGCGUUGUCCGGAAUCAUUGGGCGUAAAGAGCUCGUAGGAGGCUUAGUAAGUCGGGUGUGAAAACCCCAGGCUCAACCUGGGGACGCCACCCGAUACUGCUAUAGCUAGAGUCCAGUAGGGGAGUGUGGAAUUCCCAGUGUAGCGGUGAAAUGCGCAGAUAUUGGGAGGAACACCAGCGGCGAAGGCGGCACUCUGGGCUGGUACUGACGCUGAGGAGCGAAAGCGUGGGUAGCGAACAGG
rnacentral:rRNA from 1 species